GUGGGGAAUAUUCCGCAAUGGACGAAAGUCUGACGGAGCAACGCCGCGUGAGUGAUGAAGGUUUUCGGACUGUAAAGCUCUGUUGUUUAGGACGAAAGUGCCUGUUGCAAACAGUUACAGGUAUUGACGGUACUAAACGAGGAAGCCACGGCUAACUACGUGCCAGCAGCCGCGGUAAUACGUAGGUGGCAAGCGUUGUCCGGAAUUAUUGGGCGUAAAGAGCAUGUAGGCGGGAAUCUAAGUCUGUUGUGAAAAUGCGGGGCUCAACCCCGUAUUGCGAUGGAAACUGGGUUUCUUGAGUGCAGGAGAGGAAAGGGGAAUUCCCAGUGUAGCGGUGAAAUGCGUAGAUAUUGGGAGGAACACCAGUGGCGAAGGCGCCUUUCUGGACUGUGUCUGACGCUGAGAUGCGAAAGCCAGGGUAGCGAACGGGAUUAGAUACCCCGGUAGUCC
rnacentral:rRNA from 1 species